GAUGAACGUUGGCGGCGUGCCUAAUACAUGCAAGUCGAACGAAGACUGUAGUAAUACUGUCUUAGUGGCGAACGGGUGAGUAACACGUAGGAAUCUACCCUUAAGACGGGGACAACCCAGGGAAACUUGGGCUAAUACCGGAUGAGAGUGCGAGAGAUUGCAUUUAAAAGGAUGGCGAAAGUUAUCGCUUAGGGAUGAGCCUGCGGUCUAUUAGUUAGGUUGGUGGGGUAAGAGCUCACCAAGGCGAUGAUAGAUAGGCGGCCUUAACGGGUGGUCGCCCACACUGGGAUUGAGAUACGGCCCAGACUCCUACGGGAGGCAGCAGUCGAGAAUAGUCUACAAUGGCCGGAAGGCUGAUAGUGCGACGCCGCGUGAACGAGGGAGCCCUUCGGGGUGUAAAGUUCUUUUCUAUACGAGCAGUGCUAUAUAUAUGGAUAGUAUAUAUAGAGGGAUAGUAGUAUAGGAAUAAGCAACGGCUAACUCCGUGCCAGCAGCCGCGGUAAUCA
rnacentral:rRNA from 1 species